UACGUAGGGGGCAAGCGUUGUCCGGAAUCAUUGGGCGUAAAGAGCGUGUAGGCGGCUCGGUAAGUCCGCUGUGAAAGUCCAGGGCUCAACCCUGGAAUGCCGGUGGAAACUGUCGAGCUCGAGUCCGGAAGAGGCGAGUGGAAUUCCUGGUGUAGCGGUGAAAUGCGCAGAUAUCAGGAAGAACACCCGUGGCGAAGGCGGUUCUCUGGGACGGUACUGACGCUGAGACGCGAAAGCGUGGGGAGCGAACAGG
rnacentral:rRNA from 1 species